GGUUAAUAGGUUCAGUGGUAGAGUUCUUGCCUUCCAUGUGAGAGACCCAGGUUCGAUUCCUGGCCA
rnacentral:tRNA from 1 species